AAAGUUAAUUCUAGCUUUGAUAUUUAUUAUUUAUUUAAUUAAAUUGUAUAUAAAUUUUUGUAUAAAUUAAAUUAAUUUUAAAAAUUAUUAUUUUAUUUAUUAUAUUUAAUAUUAAAAAUUAAAGAAAUUUAGAUUUAGUAAUAUAAAAAUUAUUGAUAAAAUUUGUGCCAGCAAUCGCGGUUAUACUAAUAAUAAAAUAAAUAUUUUUAUUUUAAUUAAUAUGAUUCAUUAAAAUGAAAAUUUAAUUUAUAGGGUAAAAUAUUAAAUUAAAAUUUAUUUUUGUUAUAAAUUUGUAUGAAGUUAAUAAAUAUAUAAAUAAACUAGGAUUAGAUACCCUAUUAUAAAAUUAAAGAUAAAAAAGAUAAGUAGUAUUAGAUAUAUUCUUGAAACUUAAAGAAUAUGGCAGUAUUUUAAUCUAUUUAGAGGAACCUGUUUAUUAAUUGAUAGUCCACAAUUUAUUUUACUUAAUUUUAUUUAAUUUGUAUAUCGUUGUUAUAAAAAUAUUUUUUAGAAAAAAAAAAUUUUAAUUUUUUUAAAUAAAGUUAUAUCAAAUCAAGAUGCAGUUUAUAAUUAAGAAUUUAAUGGGUUAUAAUAAAUUAAUUUUUAGAUAAUGAAAUGAAAUAUAAUUUUGAAAGUAGAUUUAAAAGUAAUUUAAAUUAAUUAACUUAAAUGAUAUUAGUUCUAAAAUAUGUACAUAUUGCCCGUCACUUUCAUUUUAAAUUGAAAUAAGUCGUAACAUAGUAGAAGUACUGGAAAGUGUUUCUAGAAAGAUC
rnacentral:ncRNA from 1 species